rnacentral:rRNA from 1 species
AUUGAACGCUGGCGGCAGGCCUAACACAUGCAAGUCGAGCGGAGCGGCGGACGGGUGAGUAAUGCCUAGGAAUCUGCCUGGUAGUGGGGGAUAACGUCCGGAAACGGGCGCUAAUACCGCAUACUAUCAGAUGAGCCUAGGUCGGAUUAGCUAGUUGGUGGGGUAAAGGCCUACCAAGGCGACGAUCCGUAACUGGUCUGAGAGGAUGAUCAGUCACACUGGACAUGGGACACGGUCCAGACUCCUACUGGAGGCAGGAGUGUGGAAUAUUGGACAAUGGGCGAAAGCCUGAUUCAGCGACGCCGCGUGGGGGAUGAAGGCUUUCGGGUUGUAAACCUCUUUCGCUAUCGAACGGGUAGUUGCAGAAGAAGCGCCGGCUAACUACGUGCCAGCAGCCGCGGUAAUUC